AUGGCCUGGUCCCCUCUGCUUCUCACCCUGGUCACUCUCUGCACAGGAUCCUGGGCCCAGGCUGUGCUGACUCAGCUGCCCUCCAUGUCCGGGUCCCUGGGCCAGAGGGUCACCAUCCCUGCACCGGAAGCAGCAGCUAUGUUGGGCGUGGCAAUCAUGUGAGCUGGUACCAACUGAUCCCAGGAUUGGCCCCCAAAACCCUGAUCUAUAAUAGUAACAAACGACCCUCGGGGGUCCCUGACCGAUUCUCUGGCACCAAGUCUGGCAACACAGCCACCCUGACCAUCACUUCGCUCCAGGCUGAGGACGAGGCUGAUUAUUACUGUGUGUCUGCUGACCUCAGUCUUAGUGGUCCCACAGUGCUCCAGGUCAAGGGGGAAGUGCGACAAAAACCUGCUGUCCUCUCAGAGUCGGGGCUCUGGGGGCAGAAACAUCUUCUCCAAGGCAGCCGCUUCAUUUGA